rnacentral:rRNA from 1 species
GACAGAGGGUGCAAACGUUGUUCGGAAUUACUGGGCUUAAAGCGUGUGUAGGCGGGCCCGUAAGUGUCUUGUGAAAUCCCACGGCUCAACCGUGGAACUGCUGGGCAUACUGCGGGUCUUGGGCCAACUAGGGGCAGCCGGAACAAGCGGUGGAGCGGUGAAAUGCGUAGAUAUCGCUUGGAACGCCGAAGGUGAAAACAGGCUGCUGGGGUUGCGCCGACGCUGAGACACGAAAGCCAGGGGAGCAAACGGG